AUGGUACGGUUCUGCGGGGCCCUGAAGGAUCUGGGGGUGAGGGGCAGUCAGCUCCGAGAACUGCAUUACAAAGGGAACGAGACCGGACGGCAGCAACCGACUUGGACCUCGGCCUUCCGUACAAGGUGCUGGGCCCGGAGCACUCGGGAUGGGGGAGGGGGCACGCUGCGCGGUGGCCCCGGGGUGACGGGGAGACGCAGGGCGACCGCUUCCCCCAACCUCAGGGGCCAAUACGCGCACCCAAACGGGUCCCCCGAGGAGCAAAGGCGUCCCUGUGGGCUGUGGGGGCAGGCUCUUGGGGGCAACCCCAGGGCUGACCUGAGGCAAGGGCAGCCAGUCCUCCCGGCGGAGACUCGGGUCGGGGCCAGGAAAAGACCUGAGCCCUGGGAGCUUGGAGAAGGAGUCCUCCAACCUAUCCUGACGGGGAGCGGGCCAGGGGCGAGGGGGUCAGGCCAAGCCGGAACGAGACACGGACCGGGUAGGUCAAGGGGGGGGGUGUCCGGCUGGGGCAGUUACAAGCACGGGAGCCGGCGAGGCUCAGCAGCCCGCUUCCCGUCUCGGGUCAUCCUUCUGCCAGCGGCUGCUCCGACUGCUUCAGGCCCAGCCGCCCCGUCCACUGCCGCCACCAACGCCGCCGCCAUCUUACACUGGCCAGCGGCCGCCACCACCACCGCCUCCGCUCUCGGCGCCUGCGCCUGCGCCGCCACGCUUUCCGGCCCCGUUUGCGACGCGGUGCUGGAGGAGACUGGAGGGAAAGUGGUCGCGCGAGCUCUCGGGUCCCAGCCCUCCUCGGAGGACGCACAAGGGGCGGGGCUUAGGGCCGACGGAAAACAGAGCGAGGGGCGCGUGCGCAGUCCCGGGAGGCGAAGCUGUUUUCGCGGCGGGCUUGGAGGGGCUCGCUCCCCUCGCCCCGCUCCGCACGAACGCGGGCCGGGGGCUCCCCAGGGUCGUGGCCGUGGGGUGGAACUAAAUUUCAUUUCUAGCGGACUGGAGGGAAACCUCGUGGGCGGCCUCCAUUUCCGCCCUGGUUUUGAAUCCUGGGAACAAGCGGUUCUUGCCAGGUUCCCUGUGGAAACCCCAUUUCCUUUGAGGACUUUGUUUUCUUAA
rnacentral:lncRNA from 1 species